AUCCAGCUGUCGAGUCCCAAAUAGGACCAAGUGCGGAUCCUGGAU
rnacentral:hammerhead_ribozyme from 1 species